UGGCUGGCUGCAUGCAAAGAYAGCCUAGAGCAGUGCUUUACAGUCCUCUAGUUGCUUAGAAGAUUUUUCUAAGCAUAUUAUCAUAUUAUUUUCUUCAUUUUAUUAUCCUCCUGGAUUUAUAUGUUAACAAUAAGGCAACUGAACUGUGGGAUGGAAUGAAAGCUAUUUUCCUCAAGCAGCUCUGAAUAAAAAGUAGAAAAUUCCMAGUACUUGGGAGCACCAUACACUCCAGGCUCGUUUAGAACUACAGCAACAAUUUACAGCUGAGCUUGGGCAUCUCUCAGUGGAUUUUCCUGAAGACUAGACAGUGACACCUGUGGUAUAGAUAAUGGUGAACAGCAUAUUAUUCCAACAGUUCUGGGCAAUGCAGGAUUUAGCUCUGCAAAAGCCAUAUGAAUAGGAGCCAUUGGAAACUCAGGAGGCUCUCUUACAGUAGGAAGUGACUGUACCUUAGGACCUGAGAGGAAGCAGCCUUAUCCAAGAGAUAAGGGAUGGGAGAAGUUGCCCUUCCUGCAGCGACUAGGAAGAGGUUACUGUGCAGUCCAGACCAAUACAAAUGGCAGUGUCUUCCAGACACCUAUCAGAGACACGGGUUGUAGAUGGGAGAAGACAAAUAGCUGGCCUACAACUUGAUCAACUGGAUUGUCAGGAACUCAAGUGUUCUUGGAGCUGCAGUGCCUGAGAUGCAUCAUGGCAGGAGUGCUUGAAGACAGUGCAUCAUGUGAAUGGACAGAAAUCUUCCUUGAGGACUG